GUGAGGUUACUUCUCAGGGUCUGGAAAGAGCUCUAAGGCUGUGAUGUUGGAAGUAGUUGUACUACCAUGGGAGAGAGGAGCUAGGCAGAGAAGGAAGACUACAGUGCAGAGGAAGCAGCAGUGAGCCAGAGGCACCCUCUCAGGACUAUGGGGAAACUCAGGACUAAUAUUCAGAAGAACAGGUGAAGGUGAACAAAUCCAGCAGUUGGUCCAGCACAUUAAAAAGAACUUAUAAGGAUACUUAUAAGGAAAAAAUCUGUUCAAAUAACAGCUGCACCUGAAGCAAUGAACCCACAGCCUUGCUGCAUACAAAACAAAUAAAUAGGAAGGAAAACUCAGG